rnacentral:rRNA from 1 species
AACGAACGCUGGCGGCAGGCCUAACACAUGCAAGUCGAGCGAACCCUUCGGGGUUAGCGGCGGACGGGUUAGUAACGCGUGGGAAUAUACCCUUUGGUACGGAAUAGCCUCGGGAAACUGAGAGUAAUACCGUAUGUGCCCUUCGGGGGAAAGAUUUAUCGCCAAAGGAUUAGCCCGCGUUGGAUUAGAUAGUUGGUGGGGUAAUGGCCUACCAAGUCUACGAUCCAUAGCUGGUUUGAGAGGAUGAUCAGCAACACUGGGACUGAGACACGGCCCAGACUCCUACGGGAGGCAGCAGUGGGGAAUCUUAGACAAUGGGCGCAAGCCUGAUCUAGCCAUGCCGCGUGGACGACGAAGGCCUUAGGGUUGUAAAGUCCUUUCAGAUGGGAAGAUAAUGACGGUACCAUCAGAAGAAGCCCCGGCUAACUCCGUGCCAGCAGCCGCGGUAAAGUAG